rnacentral:lncRNA from 1 species
UCGCGGAAGGGCACUGUUGGAAGAUAGUGCCAAAUGACACUAAGGAGUUUUAUUGGUAGGAAUUCAAGGUGAAGCAUAAUUCUUUAAGCAUUUUGAGCUAUAUUAUGAAAUGUGUAAUUACUAACUACUCAUAUACUUUAAUCAUUUUGCAGAAAUACUUCCUAUGGGACCAAGCAAUUGACAGCUUGGUCAAAAUUGCAAGGCAGAAAAAGGCUGUUGAGAGAUACAGGGGCUAAAUGUGGGAAAUUAGGAAAGAGAAGACGAAGAAUCUGGCUACACCAGAUUCUGUUUUGAGAAAGUGCCAAGAAAC